GCCUGAGUGGCUCAGUUGGUUGAGCACUGGACUUCAGCUCAGGUCAUGAGCUUGUGGUUCGUGGGUUCAAGACCCGCAUCAGGUU
rnacentral:tRNA from 1 species